AGCCGCCACACUUUCCCAAGCCCGCAGGCGCCCCCCCCAACACCAGCGCUGCACCCCCGACCCAUUCCCCGCGGCCCCCUCCAGGAGAAAAAAUGAAACCAGACUGGCCGAGGAGGGGGGCGGCAGGGACCAGGGUGCGGAGCAGAGGUGAGGGAGACGGGACUUACUUUGCGAGGCGCGGUGCAGGGCGCCGCCGACGAGAAAUAAAGGCCCCGAUACGGGCUGCCUGGAGCCCCCCGAGCGCAGCAAUGUCAGGGCUCCAGUCCGGGCGGCGUUGGCGGCCGCAGGGGACGGGGACGGGCGCGCGUGCGGCGGGCGCUCUCGCUGCGCUCCGGCUCGGGCCCCGGCUCCGCGCGGCUCCGCUCCUGGCUCCCCUCUGGCUCCUGGCACCAACUCCGGGCAGUCACAUGACGCCGGCGCCGCUCGCUCUGCGAGCCUCCCGGGGCUGGCGGGAGAAUAACUUGUCUGACUACCAGUAUUCUUGGAUGCAGAAGUGCUGAAGAUGAGCACACACACGUACGGAGAAUUUCUGGAGAAUUCAGCUGCUCAGAACAAGAACUGAGAUCCAGAGAGAUGAUGACUUUGCCCAUAGACCAAACAAAGAAAUACAUGUUUCAGUCCUGUGUCCUCCUGCUAUGUGUGUCCGGAAUUGGUGGGUUCUUGGUCUCACUGACUUCAAGAAUGAAGCUGCGGACCCUCGCGGACCGUGUGUGAAUGCCUGCUCUGUGAGCCCUCAGAAUCUACUGGCUGAAUGAGUGCGUGGAGGAAAUGUGCUCAGAGCUGCUGUGUGUCAUCCUGUGUUUGAAGUGCUCCUGCAGCUAUCAUUCAUCCAGUUAAGAAUUUGAAGAAGUGUGUGCACAAAGACGGAGUCUCACUCUGUUGCCCAGGCUGGAGUGCAGUGGCACAAUCUCGGCUCACUGCAACCUCUACCUCCUGGAUUCAAGCGGUUUUCCUGCCUCAGCCUCCAGAGUAACAGGGAUUACAGGCAUACUCCACCUUGCCCUGCUGAUUUUGUAUUUUUAGUAGAGACAAGAGUUUCACCAUGUUGGCCAGGCUGGUCUUGAACUCCUGACCUCAAGUGAUCCACUGCCUCAGCCUCCCAAAGUGCUGGGAUUAUAGGCGUGAGCCACUGCGCCUGGCCAAAUGCUCUACUUUUUAAUCAAUGUUUUCCAAAAUAGGGAUUUUUGCUAUGUGCUUUAGAAAUUAGAGAACAAACGGUGAUAAUAUAUGCUAAACUUAAAAUUAGUAUGCCUCCUUUUAUAGACAACAAGAACUUUGUCACUUCCCAGUUUGUCUUGUCAUUCAGGAGGCUCAGAGCUACGAUCUGUGCCCACUCGUGCUGCCUCUUCUUAACUUUGAUUUCCUGAAGCAGCGAUUUCAUCUCCGUUUCCCCUCAUCACCUGUUCUUUUAACUGUUUAAAAACAGCAUUACAUGUUGUUGCAAGUGGCCUCAAAUUCUUUUUGGUAGAAGGGAAAUUGUAAUCCAUGAGAAGAAAAAAAUUUUCCUAACUAUUCUCAGGUGUGUUUAAGGGCUGCAUUCCAUGAUGCUAUCAGUGCCUUCUUUCAGCUCACAGGAUAUCGGCCAUGUUAAUGAGUCUGAUGUUGCUAGUAUCACAGGCACCGGAAAAUAUGCACAUUAUGCUGGAGCAUUAGAAUGCAACAGAAAGAGCCCUGGGCUUGGAGUAUGCAGAACUGGUUCUUGUUACAACUCCUCUUACUAGUGGGCUCUGGAAGAAAACACAUUGAAUUCAUGAUCAUGGUUAACCUUUGGAGAGAGAGAGGAGACCAGGAUGAAGGAGCCAGUCGAAGAUCCUGUUCAAGUGUACACUGAGCCAGCAGGUUCACCAGAAAGCUAUUGAGCGUUUGCUGGAACACAUUAUGCAGGGUGAAUUUCUUCUGGAAUGUUGCCAAGGAUUUUUUAUGCUUCUGUGGCAGGCAUUUCUUGAACAUUGUCAUUUAGCCAAGCAAAGAAGAUUUUCUUAAAGGAUAGAAAAUGUUUAAAAAUUUUUGUUUGUUUGAAGAUAGGUUAAAUGGCUAUAUGAUCUCAGGAUAAGACAGAGAAAAUCACUUAUUUCUCUAAGUGAUCUGAUUAGGUUAGUGAUGUUUUGCCUUUAAACAGAUUCAUCAUUAUUCCUAAAGUAUUGCUGUAUUAAUACUGUCUUCUAGAAAGUAUCCACCAGUGCCUACUUUUCUUCGAUAUCAUUAGCUGUUUUUCGAAACUGAAUUUGCUCUUCAGAGAUUUCUCAUAUGUUUGCGUAUAAGGAACUACUGGUAAUAGCCAAGAAAAUUUGGAGGUGCAGAGAACAUGCUGAAACAGAAUUUUUCACUUUCAAUUCUAGAACUAUGCCAUAAAAAAAAAGGAAAAUGUAAAAAUGUCUUUAUAUUAGAGCAGAUAUUUUAAAAGUAUUGCAAAUUCAAUGAUAAAUUCUAAGGUUAAAAUUGGACACAUAAAAAAUACAAUAUAUAAAUAUCUCCCCAGAAAUUAUUAUCUAAUGAAUAGUAAAAGCUGACUACAAACCAUGUCAUUUUAACAAGGGUUUAAAUAGUACCAAGAUUCUCAUCAUAUGCUCUGGGAUACCCAGUGAUGUACAAGGGUUCUCUCUAAACAUGGGGAGGAAAAAUUUCAAAUAUAAAGAUUUGAAUCUUGUCUUUGCCAUUCACUAGCUGUGUGAUCUUGGGUAAGUUACCUGGUUUCUCUGAGCUUCAGUGUCAUCUGUAAAACAGGAAUAAUAAUACCUAGCUCAGAGGCGGGUGUGGUGGCUCACGCCUGUAAUCCCAGCACUUUGGGAGGCCAAGGCAGGUGGAUCACUAGGUCAGGAGUUUGAGACCAGCCUGGCCAAGAUGGUGAAAUCCUGUCUCUACUUAAAAAAAAAAAAAAAUAGCCAGGCAUGGUGGCAGGCACCUGUGAUCCCAGCUACUCAGGAGGCUGAGGCAGGAGAAUCGCUUGAACCCGGGAGGCGGAGGUUGCAGUCAGCUGAGAUCUCGCCACUGCACUCCAGCCUGGGCAAUAGAGUGAGACUCCGCCUCAAAUAAAUAGGUAAAUAAAUAAAUAAAUAAAUAAAAGUAAAUAAAUAAAUAAAUAAAUAAUAAUACCUAGCUUAUGGGGCUGCUGUGGGUGUUUGUAAAGUAUCUCAAUGGUGCCUACAUAUUGUAAAGGCUUAUGAAUAUAUUAGUUCCUUUCUCAACUUCCUCAAUUCAUUCCACCACUACAAGUCAAUCUAGAGAUUAAAAUAGGCAAAACUGUGAUCUACGUUAGGAUGGGGUUGUUUGAGUGGUGGUUUAUUUCUGAC
rnacentral:lncRNA from 1 species